GUUAAUGAAAACUGUUCCCCAAAGGAAAAAGGAAAGGAGAAAAAAUUCUCAGUGUGUGUGUUUCUCAGUUCAUUCCCUUUUAUUUGAUUUGUUAUAUUUAAUUAUUUUCAAUUUUAUGUUCUCUUCUAAGUUUUGAUCACAUUCACAACGUCGAAGAGCUAGCGCAUUCAUCACAAGUAGGAAGGAGAAAGCCCGACACAGGCUCGAACAUAUCUUCAGAUCCAAACUCUCUCUACUCCCCAUCUCAGAUCUCUUCAAGACCCGUUCGGAUCUCGGAUUUCGUCUUCACAACAUUCAAAUCGCUGCUUAAUCUGGAGACCUCUGAUUAAUUAGCCGCUACUCCUGAUAUCCAUUCCGAUCUUGUAUACCUUUGUUGGAGCUUCGACCGGGAGUCAACAAUGAAUCCCUUCUCGUCCGGGACGCGUCUCAGGGACAUGAUUCGGGCUAUUCGUGCUUGCAAAACUGCAGCUGAGGAACGUGCUGUGAUUCGAAAAGAGUGUGCUGCUAUUCGAGCUGCCAUUGAUGAAAAUGAUCAUGACUAUAGGCAUCGAAAUCUUGCAAAGCUCAUGUUCAUUCACAUGCUUGGUUAUCCCACACAUUUUGGUCAAAUGGAAUGCCUGAAGUUGAUUGCAUCUGCUGGUUUCCCAGAAAAGAGAAUUGGGUAUCUUGGCCUCAUGUUACUUCUGGAUGAAAGACAAGAAGUUCUUAUGUUGGUCACAAACUCAUUAAAACAAGAUCUCAACCACUCAAACCAGUACAUUGUAGGACUUGCUCUUUGUGCUUUAGGAAAUAUUUGUUCAGCUGAAAUGGCUCGUGAUCUCGCACCAGAAGUUGAAAGACUGCUACAGUUUCGUGACCCAAAUAUUAGGAAGAAAGCAGCAUUAUGUUCUAUAAGGAUUAUAAGGAAAGUACCAGACCUUGCAGAAAAUUUUGUUAACCCUGCUGCCUCCUUACUGAAAGAAAAGCACCAUGGGGUUAUGAUAACAGGAGUUCAACUUUGUACAGAACUUUGCAAACAUAGCUCAGAAGCCCUGGAAUAUUUUAGAAAGAAGUCAACAGAGGGCGUAGUCAAGACAUUGAAGGAUUUGGUGAACAGUCCAUAUGCUCCCGAGUAUGAUAUUGCUGGAAUAACAGACCCAUUUCUCCAUAUUCGGUUGCUUAAAUUUUUGCGCGUCUUGGGCCAAGGAGAUGAAGAUGCUAGUGACUGUAUGAAUGAUAUACUUGCACAGGUGGCAACGAAAACUGAAUCAAACAAAAACUCAGGGAAUGCUAUUCUAUACGAGUGUGUUGAAACUAUAAUGAGUAUAGAAGAUAGUGGCGGCUUACGUGUUCUCGCUAUCAAUAUACUGGGAAGAUUCUUGUCUAAUCGUGAUAACAAUAUCAGAUAUGUAGCAUUAAACAUGCUUAUGAAGGCUAUCAUAGUAGAUGGUCAAGCAGUGCAGAGACAUCGGACAACGAUCUUGGAAUGUGUAAAGGAUUCAGAUGCUUCAAUUCGGAAGAGGGCCCUUGAACUUGUCUACCUUCUAAUAAAUGAUAGCAAUGUCAAGCCUCUGACAAAAGAGCUUAUUGAUUACCUGGAAGUUGCUGAUCAAGAAUUUAAGGGAGAUCUUACUGCAAAAAUUUGCUCAAUUGUUGCAAAGUACUCUCCAGAGAAAAUCUGGUACAUUGAUCAGAUGCUGAAGGUUCUCUCUGAGGCUGGAAAUUUUAUUAAAGAUGAAGUAUGGCAUGCCCUUAUUGUCGUGAUAAGCAAUGCAUCUGACCUCCACGGGUAUACUGUAAGGGCCUUAUACAGAGCAUUUCAGAUAUCUAGUGAACAGCAGGAAAGUCUUGUUCGAGUGGCAGUUUGGUGCAUUGGGGAAUAUGGCGACAUGCUGGUAAAUAAUAUUGGAAUGCUUGAUGUAGAGGACUCCAUAGUUGUUACGGAAUCUGAUGCUGUAGAUGUUGCUGAAACUGCUAUUAAACGCCAUGGCUCAGAUCUCACGACCAAAGCAAUGGCUAUGAUUGCUUUGCUGAAGCUCUCUUCUCGUUUCCCAUCAUGUUCAGAGAGGGUCAACCAUUUAAUUGUUCAAUAUAAAGGAAGCCUUGUGCUUGAAUUGCAGCAAAGAUCAAUCGAAUUCAAUUCCAUCAUUGCAAAUCAUCAGAAUAUGAGGUCUGCAUUGGUUGAAAGGAUGCCAGUUUUGGAUGAGGCUACGUUCAUUGGAAAAAGGGCUGGUUCUAUGCCAGCAUCAGUUUCGACUUCCAAUGGGGCUGCAAUUACUCUUCCAAAUGGAGUUUCCAAAUCUGCUGCUCCUCUAGUUGAUUUACUUGAUCUAAGUUCGGAUGAUGUCCCUGUGCCUAGCUCUUCUGGUAGUGAUUUUAUUCAGGAUCUUCUUGGGCUUGAUUUGACCGCAGCUCCAGAGCAAUCCGGAAGUAAUCAAGCUCCAAAAAGUGGAACUGAUGUUCUAUUGGAUCUUUUAUCUAUUGGGACGCCACCUACACAGAGUACUGCAUCUGCUACUGACAUAUUAGCAAAUCAAGACAAAUCACUUACUGUUCAAUUGGAUGGACUCUCUUCUCUUUCUCCUCUCUCUGCGAGCAAACCUUCUGCUCCUGUACCUGCUCCUACAAUUGAUUUGUUGAGUGCCUUGUCCCCUAACGCAGCAAGUGCAGAUGAGAAUGGUUCAGUUUAUCCAUCUAUAGUUGCAUACGAAAGCGGAUCAUUGAGAAUAGCUUUUGAUUUCUCUAAGGCAGCUGGGAGCCCACAAACGACAUUUAUCCAUGCCACAUUUACGAAUUUAUCUCAUAAUACCUAUACAAAUUUCAUUUUCCAGGCAGCAGUUCCAAAGUUCCUCCAAUUGCAUUUAGAUCCGGCUAGUGGUAGUACUCUGCCUGGAGGUGGUAAUGGGUCUAUCACACAAAAGUUGAGAGUGACUAAUAGCCAGUAUGGGAAGAAGCAUCUUGUGAUGCGCCUAAGGAUAGCGUACAAGGUGGAUGACAAAGAUAUUUUGGAGGAGGGUCAAGUCAAUAAUUUCCCUCGUAAUUUGUGAUGUUAGACGGCUCUGAAAGUGUAAAGAUGCGCAUUGAUGGCUGAUUUUGCUUCCCUGGGAUUUCUAUAAAUCCAAUGACAUCACUCUGGCCCUCCAUCUCUCUUGUUUCUGAAUCUCUUUUCAGAGUGGUUUUGUACAUUAUUUCAAGUUAUUGUACGGGGAUUUGGUUAUAAAAAUUUUGUCUUGCAUGAAGAGGUGGGAGCUCAAGUGUUACAUUAAGGAUUGGAGGACCAUGAUGUAAUUCCCCAGUUGAAAGAGCUCUCCAGUUUGGACCCUCUUCUUUUUUCCUUUUCCCUCUACUGGAAAGAAGCUCUAUUUGGUUCGGACCUACUGAAUUUUGUUUUGAAUUCUUAAUUCAUUAAUUUAGAAGUAUAUCUGGAUUCUGGACCAAAUUUGUGUGGUAGGGUAGCUCAAUCAGGCGACCAAUUAUGAUUAUAAUAUCGAUAAUCAAAUCUCCCGGGCAAGGCUCGAGUUUCUGUGCAAACAUAUUUUAAGUAGCAGAUGGGAAUUGCACUCGGAUGGUAACAAGUGGCAUGGUAUGCAAUUGCGGUCCAUAAAAACGAAAUGAAUAUAUUGAUAAGCAAAUAGAUAUGUAAGAACACUUUUUUUCCUUUUCCAUUUUCCCCCAAAAAGAACUAACCAUACCCAAGAGUAUUUCUAACGGGCAGGAAUUACAUGGAUAUGUGAGUUUUUUUUGUC